GGCUGGUCCGAUGGUAGUGGGUUAUUAGAACUUAUUAACAUUAGUGUCACUAAAGUUGGUAUACAGCCCCCGCUCACUGCUACAGUUGACUGGCAUACA
rnacentral:Y_RNA from 1 species